rnacentral:rRNA from 1 species
GACGAACGCUGGCGGCGUGCUUAACACAUGCAAGUCGAACGGAAAGGCCCUGCUUUUGUGGGGUGCUCGAGUGGCGAAAGGGUGAGUAACACGUGAGUAACCCGCCCUUGUCUUUGGGAUAACUUCAGGAAACUGGGGCUAAUACCGGAUAGGAGCUCCUGCUGCAUGGUGGGGGUUGGAAAGUUUCGGCGGUUGGGGAUGGAUUCGCGGCUUAUCAGCUUGUUGGUGGGGUAGUGGCUUACCAAGGCUUUGACGGGUAGCCGGCCUGGGAGGUGGACCGGGCACAUGGGGACUGAGGGAGGGCGCAGACGCGUACGGGAGGCAGCGGGGGGGAGUAUGGCAGAAUGGGCGGACGCGUGUGACGGAGGCGCCGCGUGCGGGAGAACGGCUUUCGGGUUGAAAACCGCUUUCGCAUGAGACGAGGCGGGAGUGACGGUAAUGGGUAAAGAAGCACCGGCUAACUACGUG